rnacentral:rRNA from 1 species
UACGAAGGUGGCAAGCGUUGUUCGGAUUCACUGGGCGUACAGGGUGUGUAGGCGGUUUGGUAAGCCUUCUGUUAAAGCUUCGGGCCCAACCCGGAAAGCGCAGAGGGUACUGCCAGGCUAGAGGGCGGGAGAGGAGAGUGGAAUUCCUGGUGUAGCGGUGAAAUGCGUAGAUAUCAGGAGGAACACCGGUGGUGUAGACGGCUUCUGGACCGUAACUGACGCUGAAACACGAAAGCGUGGGUAGCAAACAGG